CCGCUCUCCUUUUCCUCUAAGUGGAAUAGAAUGGGCGUGGUAGGCGUGUAGCUUGGGUUGGCUGGUGGACCCCAGGGGUUCUCGUCAUCCCGGAUCUGUUAGGGGGGUAGGCCUGGAGCCUGGAAUCGUCUGCAAGGGGAGGAAACUGCGCCAGGCUAGACCUUUGCAGAGAUUAGUUAUUCUGAAUUUGGUCUCUUCACAUCCUGCUGGGCGCUCCUCACUGCUUGCUGCCUCAGCGAACUAACUGCAGGGCCAGGUGCCAGUGGAGAGCCUGCCUGGAAAAGGAGCCAAGACAGAGAAAGUUGGAAGCAAGAAAUGGAGAGACAUAUACCAAAGGACAUUAACGGAGCCUCCAGAUCCAGCCAUGCCUGAAGCUACCUUAUACCUGAAUGUCAUGUGAC
rnacentral:lncRNA from 1 species